CUGGUGCCAGCAGCCGCGGUAAUUCCAGCUCCAAUAGCGUAUAUUAAAGUUGUUGCAGUUAAAAAGCUCGUAGUUGAAUUUCGAAAUUUUUUUAUCGGUUAAAUCAACAGAUUUAUACUGAUUUUAAGAAUUUCUACCUUCUGGAGAACCAUAAUGUCAUUAAUUUGGUGUUUUGGGGGAACCAGAACUGUUACCUUGAAAAAAUUAGAGUGUUUAAAGCAGGCUUAUGUCUGAAUAUAUUAGCAUGGAAUAAUGAAAUAGGACGGCAUGGUUCUAUUUUGUUGGUUUCUAGGAUCACCGUAAUGAUUAAUAGGGAUAGUUGGGGGCAUUAGUAUUCAAUUGUCAGAGGUGAAAUUCUUGGAUUUAUUGAAGACUAACUUCUGCGAAAGCAUUUGCCAAGGAUGUUUUCAUUAAUCAAGAACGAAAGUUAGGGGAUCGAAGACGAUCAGAUACCGUCGUAGUCUUAACCAUAAACUAUGCCGACUAGGAAUCGGACGAAGUAAUUUAAA
rnacentral:rRNA from 1 species